GGGGCUGUAGCUCAGUGGCAGGGCGCUUGCUUAGCAUGCAUGAGGCAAUGGGUUCAAUCCUCAGUACCA
rnacentral:tRNA from 1 species